AUGGGGGUUGGGAGAGAGAAGGGUUGGGUCAGUGUUUAAAGUAAGAAGAAUCCAACCUUGAUCCAUAAUAAACAAACCCACUAUUUAUUUUCUAACAAUAUUUUCCAUAUGACUGCAAAUGCAAGGUGGGAAUCCCCUGAAGCAGCACAUGCAAAUUGCAAAGUUCUUUUUUUGGGGGGGAGAAAUGCAAAGUAUCAUAUUGGAUACUAAUUUAAAACAAUAUAGGUAAAUUAAGAUUUUUUGCUCUUUGUAUAUUACAACAACUUGUACAACUUAAUUCAAUUUAACACUCACCUCUAUACUGUA
rnacentral:misc_RNA from 1 species